AAAAGCGCAUCUAACCUCCGCCCUCCGCCAUCCCCACGCGGCCACGCCGCUCACCCUACCCCGCCGCCGCCUCGGAUCUUUGUUGGGUACAAUAUUUUCAUUUGUUGGGAGGAUAGUAAGGAUCUGAUAAUGGCAAUAUACACCGAAACAGUGCAUUGCGCUCAACAUUUGUGCUCUAUUUACAGAGUUAUAAAGUAAACAAUAGUAGUGAUGCAUCAAUCAUGAAAUUCUCAUAGCUGUAUGGCAUUGCAUUUAUAUAGCAAUCUGGUUAGAUGUGCACUGACAUUAACUUUACUCUUAAUUAUUUACUUGAAUUAGCAAGGUGACUUAAGGUCAUGUAGGUCAAUCCUGUACAUGUAUAUGGGGAUUGUUGUUUGAUGUUUUCUCAUACAUCCAUAUUUCAAUUAUAUGUGGUCUAUGCAAGCUCAUAUGGUUAAUUAAUUCUAACAAUUCUUCCUACUGCCUGGCUGCUCUGAUCUUUUCUUACUACAUCGAGAUACAAUCAGAUCAUGACAUGUCUCUUCUCUUCGUCCAUUGCAAAAAUUUUUUUGUGUGUGUUUGUUAAUCACUUCAUCUUUUUUCAGAUUGUAUUUAUGCUUUUAAUCACUCCAUCUUCUGCCAAAUUUGUAUUGAUGGGUCAGAUGGUGCAUGGAAACAGGACGCGGUUCUAUCCGCCAGUGAGGUGCCUGCCCUGCCAACUACUUAGGAGUGUGCCAGUAUUCUACAUGGUUGUCUCCUCCAUGAUCACUUAGCAGGAAAGUUAUGAGAUCAUGAGGAGUGGCAUGCCUAAGUUGACUCUCUUGAGCUUGAUAUGAUGUCCUGAACAUGCAUGUUCAGGCAUGAAGAUUAACAUCUUGACUUUAGUUCAAUGAUGGGUCAUUGUCAUUGACGAUCACAUGGUCCACAGAGGCCUUGGUGUCUUCGAUCUGCCAUGAUUUCCAACAGGUUAAGCUUUGUCAUCUCAUCUUCUGAAAUCUGAACAUUUUUAUCUCUGCAUUUGUUUCUGAUGGUUUAAACUUGGGUUUGGCACUGGACGAUCUGGUUCUUGAUCAUUUGGUCAUCAUGUACUUCAAAACUUGCACAUUUGGUAUUGAAUGUAGACUCAAAACAGGCUCUAUAUCUAUGUUUGAAACUACCCAGUCCUAAAAAUGCUUGUAAUACAUUACAACUAUCUAAUCCUAAAAAUGCUUGUAGUACAUAAUUUAGAAAUUAAGAUGGUUCUUUUAGUAUAAGGUGAUGUCAUCAGAAUUGCUUCAGGAAGUACUUGCAAAGCUAUUUAUCAAUUCAAUCCUAUGCUUAUUGUAAUCCAACAAUCUUUUGAUCAUCAAAAUGACCCUGGAAAUAUUAUCCUUUUACUAAGUGCUGGGAUUGAAGCAGGCGAUAUAUAUCCUUAACUUUAUAUUGGAUUAUCUCAAUAAGGCCGGCCUACUGCUGGCCUUAUCUUUAGUUGUUUACUACGGCUUGGUUGGAGGUUGGCCAAAUAGAGUUGUUGCUUUCACGAUUAUUAUUAUUAUGCCAUUGCCUUGAAGGUAUGCAUCAUGUA